UGCGAAUGGCUCAUUAAAUCAGUUAUCGUUUAUUUGAUAGUACCUUACUACUUGGAUAACCGUGGUAAUUCUAGAGCUAAUACAUGCUAAAAACCCCAACUUCGGGAGGGGUGUAUUUAUUAGAUAAAAAACCAAUGCCCUUCGGGGCUCCUUGGUGAUUCAUGAUAACUUCUCAGAUCGCAUGGCUUUACGCCGGCGACGGUUCAUUCAAAUUUCUGCCCUAUCAACUUUCGAUGGUAAGGUAUUGGCUUACCAUGGUUUCAACGGGUAACGGGGAAUUAGGGUUCGAUUCCGGAGAGGGAGCCUGAGAAACGG
rnacentral:rRNA from 1 species